rnacentral:rRNA from 1 species
AGCGAACGCUGGCGGCAGGCCUAAUACAUGCAAGUCGAGCGCACCUUCGGGUGAGCGGCGGACGGGUGAGUAACGCGUGGGAACGUGCCCUUUGGUACGGGAUAACUGAGGGAAACUUCAGCUAAUACCGUAUGUGCCCUACGGGGGAAAGAUUUAUCGCCAUUGGAGCGGCCCGCGUUGGAUUAGGUAGUUGGUGAGGUAAAGGCUCACCAAGCCUACGAUCCAUAGCUGGUCUGAGAGGAUGAUCAGCCACACUGGGACUGAGACACGGCCCAGACUCCUACGGGAGGCAGCAGUAGGGAAUCUUGCGCAAUGGGCGAAAGCCUGACGCAGCCAUGCCGCGUGAAUGAUGAAGGUCUUAGGAUUGUAAAAUUCUUUCACCGGGGAAGAUAAUGACGGUAGUCGGAGAAGAAGCCCCGGCUAACUUCGUGCCAGCCGCCGCCGUAAGAC